GACGAACGCUGGCGGCGUGCCUAAUACAUGCAAGUAGAACGAGUUGCGAAAGGGUGAGUAACACGUAUGUAACUGACUCAUAGCGGGGGGUAACUAUUGGAAACGAUAGCUAAUACCGCAUACUGUGAGAUGGACCUGCGUUGUAUUAGCUAGUUGGUGAGGUAAAGGCUCACCAAGGCGACGAUACAUAGCCGACAUGAGAUGGUUGUUUGGCAAAAUUGGAAUGAGACACGGCGAAGACUCCUCAGGUGGGUAGCAGUAGGGAAACUUUGGCAAUGGACGGAAGUCUGACCGAGGAACGCCGCGUGAGUGAAGAAGGUUUUCGGAUCGUAAAGCUCUGUUGUUAGAGAAGCGGUAACUAACCAGAAAGGGACGGCUAACUACGUGCCAGCAGCCGCGGUAAUUC
rnacentral:rRNA from 1 species